GACAGAGGGUGCAAACGUUGUUCGGAAUUACUGGGCGUAAAGCGUGCGUAGGUGGUUCGUUAAGUCUGAUGUGAAAGCCCUGGGCUCAACCUGGGAAUGGCAUUGGAAACUGGCGACCUAGAGUGCGGUAGAGGGUAGUGGAAUUCCCGGUGUAGCAGUGAAAUGCGUAGAGAUCGGGAGGAACAUCCGUGGCGAAGGCGACUACCUGGACCAGCACUGACACUGAGGCACGAAAGCGUGGGGAGCAAACAGG
rnacentral:rRNA from 1 species